rnacentral:lncRNA from 1 species
CUUUCUGACAGCAUCCAAUCUAAAGUCUUCACUUUCUGAGAUCCUGUCCGAAAUCAACCAAUUAAAGCCCAAAUCGUAUAACAGUUUCUCUCUAACUCCUCCCACUGAGAUGACCCAUAGUACCCCAUUCCUUGCUGCAAUGUAAUUACAAGUGUGCUCCUGGUGGUCUUUAACUGAAGGGCACUGACUGGGUACUGGUGAAGUUCCCCGCAGGAACUGAGUCAGACCCCAUCUCAGGGCCCUGCAGAAGAUAGGUGCCUGCUCUAAGGCGUGGACCCUCGCGACAGCCCUGGCCCGUCUUGACGGGCGAGGGUUACUGUACUUGUCCCAACCGUACAGAUGAGAAAGCUCAGACUCAGGGCCAGCAACCCCGGUCCCAGCGGAGCGCCCGGCACGCGCCGACACUUCAGCACCAGUCGCGGUGGCCACCACUGUGCGCGGAGAUGGCUGCGACGCGUGCGCAGGGAAAUUUGUGCACAGAGAUAACACAGGGGAUAUGCCAUAUGAAGAUGAAGGCAGAAUUCUACAAGCCCAGGAAUGCCAAAGAUUGCCAGCAAACCACCAGAAGCUAGGAGAGAAGUGUGGAUUAGAUUCUUUCUCACAGCCCUCAGAAGGAACCAGCCCUGCCAAGAACUUGAUCUCAGACUUCUAGUCUCCAGAACUGUGAGACAGUGCAUUUUGUUCUGUAAGUCAGCCACAUGGUUUGUGGCACUUUGUUAUGGCAGCCCUAGGAGAUGAAGACAAUAUGCAACAUGGUAUGUCCAUUAUAGGACACUGUGGGCUAUAAAUGUGUUCUUUGGCCUGAAGAAAUAAAACUUGGUGGUCCAAGUUGAUGUCUUAUCAUCUGUUCCAGUUCUUUUAUGGUAUUUUUGGCAUUUGAAUCUAAUGACUAUGCAAAGCCCAGUCCAGAGAAUGUGUCAGGACCCAUUAUAGCCUCCCAGGGAUACUGGCUUCAGUCUGGUAUAAUCUACUUGUUAGCUAUGAGUGGUGCCUUCCCACUGGGAACCUGCCCCAUAGCCACCUGCGGUCUCUGUCUUCCUGCUGUCAGAUAGGACAGUUCUUGUUGGCAUUUGGUGCCUCUGAGGGUGGAGGAGGGACUUGUU